GUUCAACGGCCGCGGUACCCUGACCGUGCAAAGGUAGCGCAAUCACUUGUCUUUUAAAUAAAGACCUGUAUGAAUGGCCAAACGAGGGCUUAACUGUCUCCCCUUUCAAGUCAGUGAAAUUGAUCUGCCCGUGCAGAAGCGGACAUAAUAAUACAAGACGAGAAGACCCUAUGGAGCUUAAGGCAUAAAACUCAACCACGCCAAAAACUCCGCAAAAGUUAACAAGCCCAGUGAUAAAUGAGACCAUGCCUUCGGUUGGGGCGACCAUGGAGGAAAAUAAAGCCUCCAGGAGGAAUGGGGUUAAACCCUUAAACCAAGAGACACAUCUCUAAGCUUCAGAACAUCUGACCAUAAAUGAUCCGGCCAACCAAGACCGAUCAACGAACCAAGUUACCCUAGGGAUAACAGCGCAAUCCUCUCUGAGAGUUCGUAUCGACGAGGGGGUUUACGACCUCGAUGUUGGAUCAGGACAUCCUAAUGGUGCAGCAGCUAUUAAGGGUUCGUUUGUUCAACGAUUAAAGUCCUACGUGA
rnacentral:rRNA from 1 species